rnacentral:rRNA from 1 species
UACGAAGGGGGCUAGCGUUGCUCGGAAUCACUGGGCGUAAAGCGCACGUAGGCGGAUCUUUAAGUCAGGGGUGAAAUCCUGGAGCUCAACUCCAGAACUGCCUUUGAUACUGGGGAUCUCGAGUCCGGGAGAGGUGAGUGGAACUCCGAGUGUAGAGGUGAAAUUCGUAGAUAUUCGGAAGAACACCAGUGGCGAAGGCGGCUCACUGGCCCGGUACUGACGCUGAGACGCGAAAGCGUGGGGAGGCAAACAGG